CGUGCCUAAUACAUGCAAGUCGAGCGAACAGACGAGGAGCUUGCUCCUCUGACGUUAGCGGCGGACGGGUGAGUAACACGUGGAUAACCUACCUAUAAGACUGGGAUAACUUCGGGAAACCGGAGCUAAUACCGGAUAAUAUAUUGAACCGCAUGGUUCAAUAGUGAAAGACGGUUUUGCUGUCACUUAUAGAUGGAUCCGCGCCGCAUUAGCUAGUUGGUAAGGUAACGGCUUACCAAGGCAACGAUGCGUAGCCGACCUGAGAGGGUGAUCGGCCACACUGGAACUGAGACACGGUCCAGACUCCUACGGGAGGCAGCAGUAGGGAAUCUUCCGCAAUGGGCGAAAGCCUGACGGAGCAACGCCGCGUGAGUGAUGAAGGUCUUCGGAUCGUAAAACUCUGUUAUUAGGGAAGAACAAAUGUGUAAGUAACUAUGCACGUCUUGACGGUACCUAAUCAGAAAGCCACGGCUAACUACGUGCCAGCAGCCGCGGUAAUACGUAGGUGGCAAGCGCUAUCCGGAAUUAUUGGGCGUAAAGCGCGCGUAGGCGGUUUUUUAAGUCUGAUGUGAAAGCCCACGGCUCAACCGUGGAGGGUCAUUGGAAACUGGAAAACUUGAGUGCAGAAGAGGAAAGUGGAAUUCCAUGUGUAGCGGUGAAAUGCGCAGAGAUAUGGAGGAACACCAGUGGCGAAGGCGACUUUCUGGUCUGUAACUGACGCUGAUGUGCGAAAGCGUG
rnacentral:rRNA from 1 species